rnacentral:misc_RNA from 1 species
GAUGAAGAACGUAGCGAAAUGCGAUAAGUAAUGUGAAUUGCAGAAUUCAGUGAAUCAUCGAAUCUUUGAACGCACAUUGCGCCCGCCAGUAUUCUGGCGGGCAUGCCUGUUCGAGCGUCAUUUCAACCCUCAAGACCCCUUCGGGGGACUUGGUGUUGGGGACCGGCACAGGGGCCUGCCUGCUUGUCUUGCAGCGCCCUCGCCGCCCCCGAAAUGAAUUGGCGGCCUCGUCGCGGCCUCCCCUGCGUAGUAGCACAAACCUCGCAACGGGAACGUGACGGCGGCCACUGCCGUAAAACAACCCAAUUUUAUUAGAGUUGACCUCGAAUCAGGUAGGAAUACCCGCUGAACUUAAGCAUAUCAUAAGCGGAGGA